GGAGAGACACCCUCCUGUAGGUUUUAACUCCAACCCUAUUCCUGGAGAGAGACCCUCCUGUAGGUUUUAACUCCAACCCUGUUCCUGGAGAGAGACCCUCCUGUAGGUUUUAACUCCAACCCUGUUCAUGGAGAGAGACCUUCCUGUAGGUUUUAACUCCAACCCUGUUCCUGGAGAGAUACCCUCCUGUAGGUUUUAACUCCAACCCUGUUCCUGGAGAGAUACCCUCCUGUAGGUUUUAACUCCAACCCUGUUCCUGGAGAGAUACCCUCCUGUAGGUUUUAACUCCAACCCUGUUCCUGGAGAGAUACCCUCCUGUGGGUUUUAACUCCAACCCUGUUCCUGGAGAGAGACCCUCCUGUAGGUUUUAACUCCAACCCUGUUCCUGGAGAGAGACCCUCCUGUAGGUUUUAACUCCAACCCUGUUCCUGGAGAGAGACCUUCCUGUAGGUUUUAAUUCCAAC